CCUACGGGAGGCAGCAGUAAGGAAUAUUGGUCAAUGGAGGCAACUCUGAACCAGCCAUGCCGCGUGCAGGAAGAAGGCCCUAUGGGUCGUAAACUGCUUUUGUACCAGAGAAAACCCGAGUACGUGUACUCGGUUGAUAGUAUGGUAAGAAUAAGCAUCGGCUAACUUCGUGCCAGCAGCCGCGGUAAGACGAAGGAUGCAAGCGUUAUCCGGAUUCAUUGGGUUUAAAGGGUGCGUAGGCGGACUGAUAAGUCAGUGGUGAAAUCUCUCGGCUUAACCGAGAGACUGCCAUUGAUACUGUUAGUCUAGAGUAUAGAUGACGUUGGCGGAAUAUGACAUGUAGUGGUGAAAUACUUAGAUAUGUCAUAGAACACCGAUUGCGAAGGCAGCUAACGAAACUAUAACUGACGCUGAGGCACGAAAGUGCGGGGAUCAAACAGGAUUAGAUACCCUGGUAGUCCGCACCGUAAACGAUGAUUACUCGUUGUUGGCAAUAUGACCGUCAGCGACCAAGCGAAAGCGANAAGUAAUCCACCUGGGGAGUACGCCGGCAACGGUGAAACUCAAAGGAUUGACGGCNGAGAGNGCGACGGACGACGACGAGGGAGGAGG
rnacentral:rRNA from 1 species